GAUGAACGCUGGCGGCGUGCCUAAUACAUGCAAGUCGAGCGAACAGACGAGGAGCUUGCUCCUCUGACGUUGGCGGCGGACGGGUGAGUAACACGUGGAUAACCUACCUAUAAGACUGGGAUAACUUCGGGAAACCGGAGCUAAUACCGGAUAAUAUAUUGAACCGCAUGGUUCAAUAGUGAAAGACGGUUUUGCUGUCACUUAUAGCUGGAUCCGCGCCGCAUUAGCUAGUUGGUAAGGUGACGGCUUACCAAGGCAACGAUGCGUAGCCGACCUGAGAGGGUGAUCGGCCACACUGGAACUGAGACACGGUCCAGACUCCUACGGGAGGCAGCAGUAGGGAAUCUUCCGCAAUGGGCGAAAGCCUGACGGAGCAACGCCGCGUGAGUGAUGAAGGUCUUCGGAUCGUAAAACUCGGUUAUUAGGGAAGAACAAAUGUGUAAGUAACUAUGCACGUCUUGACGGUACCUAAUCAGAAAGCCACGGCUAACUACGUG
rnacentral:rRNA from 1 species